GAUGAACGCUAGCUACAUGCUUAACACAUGCAAGUCGAGGGGAAACGCCAUCGCAAGCUUGCUUUUGAUGGGCGUCGACCGGCGCACGGGAGAGUAACGCGUAUCACACCUGCCCAUCACUUGGGAAUAACCUUGCGAAAGUAAGACUAAUAACCAAUGAUAUCCCCCUAAGUCAUUGGAAUGGGAUUAAAGAUUUAUCAGUUAUGGAUGGGGAUGCGUCUGAUUAGCUGGUUGGCUGGGUAACGGCCCACCAAGGCAACGAUCAGUAGGGGUUCUGAGAGGAAGGCCCCCUGCAUUUGAACUGAGGCACAGUCCACACUGCUACGGGAGGGAGCGGUGAGGAAUACUGUGGAAGGGGGCAUAGCCUGAAACAGCCAAGUAGCGUGCAGGAGGACGGCCCUAUGAGUUGUAAACUACUUUUAUAAGGGAAUAAAGUGGGUCACGUGUGACUUUUUGCAUGUACCUAAUGAAUAAGGAACGGCUAAUUCCGUG
rnacentral:rRNA from 1 species